CUGGUUGAUCCUGCCAGUAGUCAUAUGCUUGUCUCAAAGAUUAAGCCAUGCAUGUCCAAGUACAAGCCAACUUAAGGUGAAACCGCGAAUGGCUCAUUAAAUCACACCUAAUGUACUGGAUAGUUACAGUUACUUGGAUAACUGCGGUAAUUCUGGAGCUAAUACAUGCAAACAAGCCCUGACUCACGGAGGGGCGCUUUUAUUAGAUCAAAACCAAACGGCUUCGGUCGUUGUUCUGGUGAUUCUGAAUAACUUUGUGCUGAUCGUACGGCUAUAUGCCGACGACGUAUCCAUCCAAGGUGUGCCCUAUCAACUGUCGACUGUGGCAUAGACGCCCACAGUGGUUUUGACGGGUAACGGGGAAUUAGGGUUCGAUUCCGGAGAGGGAGCCUGAGAAACGGCUACCACUUCUAAGGAAGGCAGCAGGCACGCCAAAUUACCCAAUGGUCGAAGACCGAGGUAGUGACGAAAAAUAACGAUACCGGUCUCUUCCGAGGCCCGGUAAUCGGAAUGAGUACACUUUAAAUCCUUUAACGAGGAACAAUUGGAGGGCAAGUCUGG
rnacentral:rRNA from 1 species